rnacentral:rRNA from 1 species
UGCGUAGGCGGCCCGGCAAGUUGGGUGUGAAAUCCCUCGGCUCAACCGAGGAACUGCGCCCAAAACUGCCGGACUAGAGGGAGACAGAGGUGAGCGGAACUUGCGGUGGAGCGGUGAAAUGCGUUGAUAUCGCAAGGAACACCAGUAGCGAAGGCGGCUCACUGGGUCUCUUCUGACGCUCAGGCACGAAAGCUAGGGUAGCGAACAGGAUUAGAUACCCUGGUAGUCC